rnacentral:rRNA from 1 species
CCCACCCCUUCCCAUCCCGAACAGGACCGUGAAACGACUCCACGCCGAUGAUAGUGCGGAUUGCCCGUGUGAAAGUAGGUAAUCGUCAGGCU